UACGGGGGAUGCAAGCGUUAUCCGGAUUUAUCGGGUUUAAAGGGUGCGUAGGCUGUGAGGUAAGUCAGCGGUGAAAUGCCCCCGCUCAACGGGGUGAAGUGCCAUUGAUACUGCCUUGCUGGAAUGCGGAUGCCGUGGGAGGAAUGUGUGGUGUAGCGGUGAAAUGCAUAGAUAUCACACAGAACACCGAUUGCGAAGGCAUCUCACGAAUCCGCGAUUGACGCUGAUGCACGAAAGCGUGGGUAUCAAACAGG
rnacentral:rRNA from 1 species